CCUACGGGAGGCAGCAGUAAGGAAUAUUGGUCAAUGGGCGAGAGCCUGAACCAGCCAAGUCGCGUGAGGGAGUACUGCCCUAUGGGUUGUAAACCUCUUUUGUCGGGGAGCAAAAGCCGGACGUGUCCGGCUGUGAGAGUACCCGAAGAAAAAGCAUCGGCUAACUCCGUGCCAGCAGCCGCGGUAAUACGGAGGAUGCGAGCGUUAUCCGGAUUUAUUGGGUUUAAAGGGUGCGCAGGCGGAUUUUUAAGUCAGCGGUAAAAUCGUGGGGCUCAACCCCAUCCAGCCGUUGAAACUGGGGAUCUAGAGUGUGCGAGAGGUAUGCGGAAUGCGUGGUGUAGCGGUGAAAUGCAUAGAUAUCACGCAGAACCCCGAUUGCGAAGGCAGCAUACCGGUGCACAACUGACGCUCAGGCACGAAAGCGUGGGUAUCGAACAGGAUUAGAUACCCGAGUAGUC
rnacentral:rRNA from 1 species